UACGUAGGGCGCAAGCGUUGUCCGGAAUUAUUGGGCGUAAAGAGCUCGUAGGUGGCUUGUCGCGUCUGCCGUGAAAGCCCAUGGCUUAACUGUGGGUCUGCGGUGGAUACGGGCUGGCUAGAGGUAGGUAGAGGCAAGCGGAAUUCCUGGUGUAGCGGUGAAAUGCGCAGAUAUCAGGAGGAACACCGGUGGCGAAGGCGGCUUGCUGGGCCUUACCUGACGCUGAGGAGCGAAAGCGUGGGGAGCGAACAGG
rnacentral:rRNA from 1 species